ACGAGUGGCGCAGGGUGCGUAACGCGUAUUGCAACCUACCUUCAGCAGGGGGAUAGCCCCCGGAAACGGGGAUUAAUACCGCAUAAUGCAGGGCGUACCGCAUGGUACUAUUCCGCUAAAGGUUUACCGGCUGGAGAUGGGCACGCGUCCCAUUAGCUAGUUGGUGAGGUACGGCUCACCAAGGCAUCGAUGGGUAGGGGUUCUGAGAGGAAGGUCCCCCACACUGGCACUGAGACACGGGCCAGACUCCUACGGGAGGCAGCAGUAGGGAAUAUUGGUCAAUGGGCGAAAGCCUGAACCAGCCAUGCCGCGUGCAGGAUGACGGCCUUAGGGUUGUAAACUGCUUUUUUACAGGAAGAACAAGCUGGAUGCGUCCGGCCUUUGACGGUACUGUACGAAUAAGCACCGGCUAACUCCGUGCCAGCAGCCGCGGUAAUACGGAGGGUGCGAGCGUUGUCCGGAAUCAUUGGGUUUAAAGGGUGCGUAGGCGGCUGAUUAAGUCAGCGGUGAAAUCCAGGGGCUCAACCCCUGGCCGGCCGUUGAUACUGGUCAGCUUGAGUGUCGGAGGGGCAGGCGGAAUUUGUGGUGUAGCGGUGAAAUGCAUAGAUACCACAAGGAACACCAGAGGCGAAGGCGGCCUGCUGGCCGACUACUGACGCUGAUGCACGAAAGCAUAGGUA
rnacentral:rRNA from 1 species